CGAUUAAAGCCCUAAUUUCUCCCCAAGUAAACUCCCGCUUCCCCAUUUGCAUUGAAUGACGAGAAGAACGCCGUAAUUUUCGGAUGACAACCCAAGCAAUCGCCACCUCCGAUCGUCGACAAUCUAAGUAAUUCCUCCCUAUCAGGCCCAAGUUAAGUCAUUGUUUCCCAUUUGUAGAGAACGACGAAGAGACGGCCUUAAUUUCUAGACGACAACCUAAGUAACCGCGUAUGAUAAGAAAAUAGAAAGAAUUGACGAUGUGGUUGAUGGGUUUUUCUGAUAUUCUCCCCCUUCUUUAUUUGUAUUGUUCAUUUUAAAUUUGAAUAUUAGCAUCGCUCUGUUAAAGGAUGACUUUAUCUAUUUGUCACCAGCUAUUUUCAUUUAGGGACCAUAAACCCCCAGCCGAGCCUUUAUCUCAUUCUCUCACCGCUUGUACUCUACCCCAUUCUCAUGAUUGCUCCAAUUGGAACUCAAAUUUUGCAUAGUCAUUUUUGCACUCAUCCAUAUUAUAGACAAAUGCGUGCUAAUGAGUGACCAAAUGUUAAUGACAUAAAAAAUGAUUUCUAUCAUAUUGAACAUGAUACUCAAGUAUGGCAAUACAUAGCCGAAAGGAAUAUGUAUUGAAAGAAAUAUGCAAUAAUAAAGAAGUAUUCUCCCCUCCUACCUUGAUUUGUUAAAGAUUUAGAAUGUUCUCUUUUCCAUCCACUCAUAUGAAGUAACAAACCAGUGGAGUGAGGAAUAAAAGCUCGAUGAUAAUGAGAGCUUUCUCACUCCCUCUGAUUAUUAACGGAUGUGGUCGUUUAAUUCAAUUGAAUUAGAUUAGUUCGAUGGCAAGUAAGAACAAGGAAAUAUGUCAUUGUUGUAGACAAAGGAGACAUGCUGUCAGAAUGUCCGAAGAAGAAAAGAUAUCCAAAUUGUGGUGAGGGCUUCGUCAAGUGGUUGGAGGUCGAAAAGAACAACGACCAUAAAUGGCUGUUGUUUCAUUGUUGUACCCGUGACUGUAGGUACUUCAAGUGGUGUAACAAAUCCCUCAACAAAGAAUGUCCACAACAUAAUAAUGGUGAAUCAAGUGGCAUCACAAAUGGAGGUGAACAAGUCGAUGAAUUGUCCCACAUGUUGAAAACACUUGCAACGCUAUGAGAGGAAAAAGAAUUGGAGAUUUCUCUAAAAAUAAAUAUACGCAAAGGGAAAGGAGUUUCAUAACAUGUAAUUAGAAACCGAAGAUGUAUUAGAAUGGUGAUUUAAUGGUUUGUACUUGGUGAUCAUUUCGAGUUGUCAGCUAGUGAACUGAAUAUUUAUUCAGCAACUUUAGAUAAAGUGUGUUGUAUGACUUAAUAUGUGGUUUAGGGUGUCUUUCUGGAACUAAAUUGUUGUAUUGAAGUUCUGGAAUUAAGCUGACAGUAACAGAUUCCAGCCCACUUACCUAUAUGUGUUGUAAUUUUUGCCACUUUUAUUUCUUU
rnacentral:lncRNA from 1 species